rnacentral:rRNA from 1 species
UACAGAGGGUGCGAGCGUUAAUCGGAAUUACUGGGCGUAAAGCGUGCGUAGGUGGUUUAAUAAGUCAGAUGUGAAAUCCCCGGGCUCAACCUGGGAACUGCAUUUGAAACUAUUAGGCUAGAGUACGGUAGAGGGAAGUGGAAUUUCCAGUGUAGCGGUGAAAUGCGUAGAUAUCGGAAGGAACAUCAGUGGCGAAGGCGACUUCCUGGACCGCAACUGACACUGAGGCACGAAAGCGUGGGGAGCAAACAGG